rnacentral:rRNA from 1 species
ACCUCGAAUCAGGUAGGACUACCCGCUGAACUUAAGCAUAUCAAA